GACACAAUAUAAAAGAACGCUGGAACCUUGCCAAGCUUUGAAGACCUGUGGGAGUGGAAGCUAUAGACUCCAACGCCACCUCCGUUGUGACAGAAAAAAGCCAUUUCUACACGACCGAAUCCCCGCGGUUAGAGAUGAAAUGUGACUGGUCUUCCCUGUCAUUUUAAAGCAACGUCGAUGCUCUGGAGUUGGGGUCCUACUGAGGUUACAGCUGAGAGACCACCCUCAGCCUAUCUAUUCAGGGCAGAGGAUUAGUAUCUCUCAUGGAUCAUUAAUGUGAAGAGACCCCUGCUUUGGCUUUUGUAUAGAUAUGUGGAUUUUUUAUGAAGCCUUCCUUUGAGUUUGGGGAAAAGACUGAUAUUGAUUUAUGGGCCUCAGAGGAGACUGAAGCUAAAUUUUGAAGGCGUUACUUCAGUUAAAGCUGGAGAGCUUGAAGCAGAGAAACAGAGGACUAAAGACCUCACCUUUUGGAGAUCCACCAGGGUAACAUCCAUUCCGGCUCUCACAGAUGACUUCACUUCCAGGUUUCUUUCAACUGGUGUUACUUCCGCCCCAACAUGAUGACCUCACUUCCAGCCCAUUUCCGAUGAUCUCAUUUCUGGCUACUGAUUAUGUUGUCAUCUCCAUCACCCAUCUUCAAUGUCAUUUCCUCCUUCACUUACUGCCAUACUUCCAUAAAAGUCCCAUCAAGCCUU